rnacentral:rRNA from 1 species
ACGGGUGAGUAAUACAUAGGUAACCUACCCUUAAGAUGGGGACAACCUUCCGAAAGGAGGGCUAAUACCGAAUGAGACCACAGUGACACAUGUCACAGGGGUUAAAGAGGGCCUCUACUUGUAAGCUUUCACUUAAGGAUGGGCUUAUGCACCAUUAGCUAGUUGGUAGGGUAAUGGCCUACCAAGGCUUCGAUGGUUAGCUGAUCUGAGAGGUUGAUCAGCCACACUGGAACUGAGACACGGUCCAGACUCCUACGGGAGGCAGCAGUAGGGAAUAUUGCGCAAUGGAGGAAACUCUGACGCAGCGACGCCGCGUGGGUGACGAAGGCCUUCGGGUCGUAAAGCCCUGUCGGAGGGGACGAAAGAAUCGGUGUUAACACCGCCGAGAGAUGACGGUACCCUCAAAGGAAGCACCGGCUAACUACGUGCCAGCAGCCGCGGUAAUACGUAGGGUGCAAGCGUUGUUCGGAAUCAUUGGGCGUAAAGCGUGUGUAGGUGGCUUGCUAAGUUGAUUGUGAAAUCCCUGGGCUCAACCGAGGAAGUGCAGUCAAAACUAGCAGGCUAGAGGACAGCAGAGGAAGGUG